rnacentral:rRNA from 1 species
CCUACGGGAGGCAGCAGUGGGGAAUAUUGCACAAUGGGCGAAAGCCUGAUGCAGCAACGCCGCGUGCAGGAAGACGGUUUUCGGGUUGUACACUUCUUUUCUCAGGGACGACGCAAGUGACGGUACCUGAGGAAUAAGCCACGGCUAACUACGUGCCAGCAGCCGCGGUAAUACGUAGGUGGCAAGCGUUAUCCGGAUUUACUGGGUGUAAAGGGCGUGUAGGCGGGAAAGCAAGUCAGAUGUGAAAACCAUGCGCUCAACCUGUGGCCUGCAUUUGAAACUGUUUUUCUUGAGUACUGUGGAGGCAGACGGAAUUCACAGUGUAGCGGUGAAAUGCGUAGAUAUUAGGAGGAACACCAGUGGCGAAGGCGGUCUGCUGGACAGCAACUGACGCUGAGGCGCGAAAGCGUGGGGAGCAAACAGGAUUAGAUACCCGGGUAGGUC